rnacentral:rRNA from 1 species
GAUGAACGCUAGCGGCAGGCUUAAUACAUGCAAGUCGAGGGGCAGCAGUUUUGUAGCAAUACAGAAGCUGGCGACCGGCAAACGGGUGCGGAACACGUACGCAACCUUCCUUUAACUGGGAGAUAGCCCACCGAAAGGUGGAUUAAUAUCCCAUAGUAUAUUUGAGUGGCAUCACUUAGAUAUUAAAGCUCCGGCGGUUAAAGAUGGGCGUGCGUCUGAUUAGGUAGUUGGCGGGGUAACGGCCCACCAAGCCCACGAUCAGUAGCUGAUGUGAGAGCAUGAUCAGCCACACGGGCACUGAGACACGGGCCCGACUCCUACGGGAGGCAGCAGUAAGGAAUAUUGGUCAAUGGACGCAAGUCUGAACCAGCCAUGCCGCGUGGAGGAUGAAGGUCCUCUGGAUUGUAAACUUCUUUUCUUUGGGACGAAACCCCUGUUUCUACGGGGACUGACGGUACCAGAGGAAUAAGCACCGGCUAACUACGUGCCAGCCGCCGCAGUAAAAC